rnacentral:rRNA from 1 species
GUCUAUGGCCAUGCCACCCUGAACAAGCCUGAUGUCUGAUCUCGGAAGCUAAGCAGCAUCAGACCUGGUUAGUACUUGGAUGGGAGACCACCUAGGAAGACCAGGUGCUGUAGGCA